CUCAUGCUGACGGAAGUCAUGCCUCCUGUGACGUCAUUGCCAACGCCCGCCCACUGACGGGCUCACGGGCCAAUCAGAGGAGGCGGUAACUUUGGAUGCUGAUUACUGGAAAGAAAAAAGGUUUUAAGCAACAAGGCAACGAGAGGACGCAAUGAAAGAAGGUGUUUCUUCAUACAGGAUCCCAGGUGUGACUUUCUUGCUCACUCACCCACUCACUCACUGGAAAGCAAUCAUGUGGAUUGUGGACUUUCUUGCUCACUCACCCACCCACUCACUGGAAAGCAAUCAUGUGGAAUUACUUGAGAAAAAUGAUGAACUUCUUGCUACAUGUCGUUUCGCAAUAGAAAGAGUCAUCAAACGUUGGUCAACAGAGAGAAUUUCCACACACUCAUUCUGAAAUGCUCAUGAUUCACACUCAUCGGAUCCAACGUUAGCUUGGCCAUACAGAUAAAAGUGUGCGCCAAAAGAAGAAGUAGGUUUUAAGUGUUUUUAAAUGACUAUAAACACAUUUCUAGAAAUAGUCCUGGUGGACGAAGAGAUACUUGAGACCAUUUUGAAUGGGUUUACUAUUUCUUCCAGCAAUUAGUUAAGUUUGUUGCUGCAUUUUACCUGCAAGUUCAUAGUUUAGAAUACGUUUAAAUGUUUCUAUGUAAUUCUAUAAUCCCAGAUGGACCUCCCAUGCAGAAAUGAUGUUUAUUUUUUUACUUUUUUCUUACUCAUCUUCCUCUCUGUCUAAAGGUUAAAAAUACCAUAAAGUGUCAAACUUUCACAACUAUAAAGUCACUGUAGAUCUGCUGGAAAUCAGAUAUCAAAGAUGUAGUUUUAUUCUUCUUCCAGUAGAUGGCACUAUCUAACUACGGAAAAGACUCAUUUCUGUGGGUGCAGCGUGAAAGCAAUUUUCUAAGUAUCCUUUGAGUUGAGGUUCAGAUUUUAGAAAGAUGUCUGAUGUAGAGACUUGAUUCGAUGGAUCAGGAUAUUUUCUCUGUGAGAACCAUAAGUUAAAGCAUCUGGUGGUUCAGAUGUGCUACACACAACUUUAUUCGAAUACACAGUUUUCUCUUUUUCUUUUUGCAGCACAUAAAUAAAGCCACGGACUAAUUCAUUUUCUCCUGAGGGGUUGCUUUGAAAUCGACUCAAAGGCACCGUGUUACGGCAGACUGGGGCCACAUUUAAAGUCCCUGUGAAGUGGCUUUUUCUUUUUUGAUUGAAGGUAUUGCCUGCUGCAACUGAAUAUUGGAGUGGGACCUAACACACAAAGGAAUCAAUCAAAAGUGUACAACCAGCAGGUUAUCAGUUGCCACAUACUGCUGGGACGAACAAGUAUUCGAUCAUGUGAAAAAAAUUAUUUAGUUCUUUUGUCCAUUGCUAAUGUUGUCCAUGAUUUAAACAUUAUCGAAAAUUAAUAAGAUGUUAACACAAGACAUAAGUAAUAUUGGACAAAGGGAACUAGAAACAUGCAUCCUAUUAUUAAUUAUUUUUUCAGGAAAUUAGACACGGUAGACACCCAACAGCUCAACAGUAUUUCACACUUUAAGAUGAAUAUAUCAAUGUAUUCCAACAUGAAAGACACAGCAAGAAACCCACGUUUUAUUAGGGAAUGUCAUAUAUUGCAUUUGGUGACCUAAUCUGCAAUGAUAUGAUAAUAUGGGAGAAGAUGUAAAACACAUGGGUUUAUUUACUGCCGUUUUACAUGCCGUAACGCCCCAUAAUAGCUGAGACUUACUAAAUGUGACUGACGCGGAGCACUGCGCCGUCUGGAUCAGGAGGAAUGGGAUAAUUAAAGAAAGGAAGCUGCAUGUGAACUCUUUGUUAGUGGCAGCAGUGGGUUGUCUGUCCAACACGCACACGCGCAUAAUGGCAUGCAUCCGUGUGGAUAGGUAAUGCGCAGGUCAUGUCUACCGAAGACGAGGCUUUUAAUGGGGUUUGACCAAACACAGGAACUGCCACAGGUUUCCACUUGAAACAUCCAAUUUAAAGCCCCUAAUUAAAGACCUCACAUGGAGCCAAUUAAAACUCAAAUUAAAGGGUUCUACCUUAAAAGACAAUUGGUGCGGUGUGUGUUUGUGUGUUUUGUGUGUCGUGUGGACGAGUAGGAGGUAGAUGCUAUAAUUACUUGCCUCCACUCUCAAAGCAUAUGUAUAAUAAAAAAAUACAGUA